rnacentral:lncRNA from 10 species
UCCCUUGGAGCAAAAUUUGUCAAACACAGAAUGGAAACAGAGCUUGCUAUCAACGUGCUGAAAAUGCUUGUUGCUGGAUACAAAAUGUGAUAUCAAGAUACUCCAGAGAUACGCCCUUGCUGUUUCUCUAGAGUCCUUCUCUUCAGGGACCACACCAUGUGGUAUGAUGAAGGACCUGACUAUGACCAGCCACAGAAGGGCUCAUACACCCUUCCUCCAGGGAAUUAGGCUCCAGUUAGUAGUUGCUGCCUAGGAGAUGAAGUGAAUUUCACAAGAAAGACAUAAGAAGCCAACAACUGAUUUGGAAUGAUCUGAGAGACUGACACAAAAAUGCUAUUACCCCUGUAUGCACACAAGUUGAACCUAACGGCAUUAAAAGAAAAGGACAAGCUGUGAAAUGCCUAGAUUCCAGAGCAACAGACUGUGAUCCAUUCCCAACAACCCCUCCCUACCGUCUGCCACCAGUUCCCUUAAAGCAGGAAUCAGAGCUAGACUGACUCAACUAAGAAUUGUUUUGGAGAACUUGGAACUCAACAUUCCAUAAAGCAAGAAGCUUGACAUAGCAUCGAUGAGCCCAAGUCAACUAUAUGAACAAAACAAUGUCUCAGGAGGGGCAGGGUAUCACGUCAGAAGAAUCCUGAGUCCUUAGAUGACCUUGUAGAAAAGAGCCACAAACUUACUCUGGGCUACCUUCAUACCUCUGAACUAUUAUGCAGAGAGAAAUAAAUGUAUUCAAAUCACUGUUUUUUGGGUUUCUUCAUUCAUGUAGCUUAGCCUAUAACCUAAGUAA